GAAAACUGUAUGACUUUAAAAGAAAACCAGUGAGAUAAAAUCAUAUAAAAUGUAUGAUGAUUCAGGAUGUUGUCAUUUGAAUCCUGUUCUGUGGAUGCCCUUAGAAAGUGUGUCUACCCAUCACGCCAUCUGAUAUCACUUGUUCUGAGCAUAUUUCUCUCUCAAACUUAAACUACAGAGAGCCUGUGGAUAGAGGAUGAAGAGUGACCUUGGACUAAUUUUCUAUGUCAAAGAUCAUAGGUGUUGUGAAGAAAAUAUCAGGGAACUGAUGUUGAAAGAAGUACUUAAUGACACUUAUGAAUGGACUUACAUGUGA